UCACCUUUGCCUAAUUUACUCACUCCUGUUUCUCCUUCUUCUAUGCCGAGGCAACAUUGAUCUCUAAUAGUCAAGUCAUGGAAACAGCCUAAGUUCCCAAAAACAGAUGGGUGGAUAAAGAAGUUGUGAUCUACAUCUGUGUUUAAUUAGAAGAAGAAAUGAAUUCCCAUUAACACCAUUAGGUAACAUGCUAUGAUUGGUUAAAGCCUACAUGGACUGUGAAACUCAUCCAGAAAACUCCGGAGGUUAUAAUGGAAAUGUAUAAUCUCAGAAGGACUA